ensembl:lincRNA
UACUUGUCUAUUUUUUAAAACUUUUCUUAAAUGCCUUGAAGUCUUGCUGCUCUUUUGAAAUUAUGUGACUGUCAUUUAAUAAUGUUAAUGAGAACUGACUGCCUAGUCCACUUUAACUAAACUAUCCUGUGAACCAACGAUGUAGAUGCCAAAUAAACAGCUCUGAUGACCAUAGUAGAUGAAGAAUAAAAUAAUCCAUACAUUUAAUCCAUUCAUUUAAUUUUGUCUUUUUCUAGCCUUUUGUCUCAUAUGAAAAAUGUGGAAAACAUUCCUCCUCAGUAUUAAAGACUUCAAGAAGCUUUACUUUGGAAGAUUAAGAAAUAAUCACUAGAAAAGGACAUGUUACCCAUCACUGAGACAGAAAUGUUUUCUCAAUACAUCAAAGAAAACCAAGAAUAUGAAGACAUAAGAAUGAGGAAUGCCUGUUGGAUUUGGAACCUCCAAAGGACCCAAAAGCAAGAGAAUAUCAGAGGCCUCCUCAUCACAAAUAAAAGAGCUGAGAGAAAAUGUUUCAAGAUGCUUCACUGGAAAAACUCACCAGGUGCCUGUAACUAAUUUCUCUAAUUGGCAUACUCACUCUCACAUUCAAAACUUUCACAAUGAACAUACAACACAAUCAAUGAUUACCAGCCAGUAGGGAAGUGGGUCUUAAAUAAUCAAAUAAGAAACUGAGAACAUACUUUAAAUAGAAAAGAAAGAGAGAAAACACAAAAAUAACUCAUAAUAUUUCCAAAGAAACAAGAGGUGAUCAAAUAUCCACAAAACAAGAACCAUAGCCAAAGCAAAUAAGCAGAAUAAGAAAAAUUUCUUAGAAAUUAAAACAUGGCAUGUCAGAAUCACUUAAGUGCCUAAGUGACGAUAUAUGUUAAAGCCGAAAAUACAGUUAAACAAUACAUUAUUUAUCUGUGGAAAGAUUUACGAGCAAAGAAUACAUAAAGAACUAAUAUGUUGAGUUACAGAUUAGCAUCCCAAGUGCAAUUAACUAUUGUUUUAAUUUAGAAACAUAAUUACAAUGCAAAAGGUAAUAUUUUAGUUCUUGGAAAUGUAAUAGGCAAAAGAUGAAAAAGAUACAUACACAUGCAUUAGGCUAUGUAGAUGCUUUAACAUUUCCCUUUCAGAGUAAAAUUCAAGAGAAUUUAAACAAUGAAAUCCACCAAAUGGCCAUUUAAAUAAUUGUGGAAAAAAUUUUAUAUGCCUGCUCAUAUUACAAUUGAAAUUAUCUUGGAAAGUGUUUUCAAAUGAAGAAGACAUUAUUAUUUUUAGAACCUUUCAUUCUAUUUUAUCAAAUGUCACUUAUACUGGUCUUUCAUCAUUCUUCAGGUUAGACACUAUUCAAGGGUAUUAAUGUUGAGGAAAUGGACCCAUUUUUCUUUUACUUACAUGUUAUUUAGAAAUUUGAAAUAAUUUCUCAUAGAAAAAUAUUCAUGUCAUAUUGUCUAUAAAAAUCACUAAAUGUAACUGCUGUAUUUCAUUAUUUUAAGUCAUAUUAUUUAUAUCAUUG